rnacentral:rRNA from 1 species
UACAGAGGGUGCAAGCGUUAAUCGGAAUUACUGGGCGUAAAGCGUGCGUAGACGGUUACAUAAGUCGGGUGUGAAAGCCCCGGGCUCAACCUGGGAAUUGCAUUCGAGACUGCGUAGCUAGGGCGCGGAAGAGGGAAGCGGAAUUUCCGGUGUAGCGGUGAAAUGCGUAGAUAUCGGAAGGAACACCAGUGGCGAAGGCGGAUCUCUGGACAGUUCCUGACGCUGAGGCGCGAAGGCCAGGGGAGCAAACGGG